rnacentral:ncRNA from 1 species
GACCCGAAAGAUGGUGAACUAUGCCUGAAUAGGGUGAAGCCAGAGGAAACUCUGGUGGAGGCUCGUAGCGAUUCUGACGUGCAAAUCAAUCAUUGAAUUUGGGUAUAGGGGUGAAAGACUAAUUGAACCAUCUAGUAGCUGG